UUAGUAAAUGUAGUUGCUAAGAUUUUAUUAGUUUAUCUAAUUAAUUUUAAAAGUAUUGGCGGUAUUUAGUUAAAUUCUGAGGAACUUGUUUAUUUAAUUUGAUAAUACACAUUAAAUUUAAUCUAUAAUUUAUUUUAUGUAUUGCUGUUUAAUUUAUUAUUUAUUAUUUAUUAAUAAAUGAAAUUUAUUUUUGAGUUAAUAAAUCAAGUCAAAAUGUAGAUUUUUAUAGGUUUAAAUGAGUUACUUUUGUAUAGAAAUAUGAAACUGUAAAAUUAAUUGAAAUAUUAGUGAUUUGAAGGUUGGAUUAGGUAGUAAAAAGAAAUUAAUUAGUUUUUUUGAUAUUUUUAUACUAAUAUGU
rnacentral:rRNA from 1 species